GAUGAAGAACGCAGCGAAACGCGAUAAGUAGUGUGAAUUGCAGAAUUCAGUGAAUCAUCGAAUCUUUGAACGCACAUUGCGCCCUUUGGUAUUCCAAAGGGCAUGCCUGUUCGAGCGUCAUUUGUACCCUCAAGCUUUGCUUGGUGUUGGGCGUCUUGUCUCUAGCUUUGCUGGAGACUCGCCUUAAAGUAAUUGGCAGCCGGCCUACUGGUUUCGGAGCGCAGCACAAGUCGCACUCUCUAUCAGCAAAGGUCUAGCAUCCAUUAAGCCUUUUUUUCAACUUUUGACCUCGGAUCAGGUAGGGAUACCCGCUGAACUUAAGCAUAUCAAUAAGCGGAGGA
rnacentral:misc_RNA from 1 species